CCUACGGGAGGCAGCAGUGGGGAAUAUUGGACAAUGGGCGCAAGCCUGAUCCAGCCAUGCCGCGUGAGUGAUGAAGGCCCUAGGGUUGUAAAGCUCUUUUGUGCGGGAAGAUAAUGACGGUACCGCAAGAAUAAGCCCCGGCUAACUUCGUGCCAGCAGCCGCGGUAAUACGAAGGGGGCUAGCGUUGCUCGGAAUCACUGGGCGUAAAGGGUGCGUAGGCGGGUCUUUAAGUCAGGGGUGAAAUCCUGGAGCUCAACUCCAGAACUGCCUUUGAUACUGAAGAUCUUGAGUUCGGGAGAGGGGAGUGGAACUGCGAGUGUAGAGGUGAAAUUCGUAGAUAUUCGCAAGAACACCAGUGGCGAAGGCGGCGCACUGGCCCGAUACUGACGCUGAGGCACGAAAGCGUGGGGAGCAAACAGGAUUAGAUACCCCUGUAGUC
rnacentral:rRNA from 1 species